CGCGUAGGUGGUUAGGUAAGCGAGAUGUGAAAGCCCCGGGCUUAACCUGAGAACGGCAUUUCGAACUGUCUGACUAGAGUAUGGUAGAGGGUAGUGGAAUUUCCUGUGUAGCGGUGAAAUGCGUAGAUAUAGGAAGGAACACCAGUGGCGAAGGCGGCUACCUGGACCAAUACUGACACUGAGGUGCGAAAGCGUGGGGAGCAAACA
rnacentral:rRNA from 1 species